rnacentral:rRNA from 1 species
UACGUAGGCAGCAAGCGUUGUUCGGAGUUACUGGGCGUAAAGGUGUGUAGGCGGUUCCUUAAGUUGCUGUGAAAUCUCCCGGCUUAACCGGAGGGUGCGUGAAUACUGAGGGACUAGAGUACGGAGAGGAAGUGGAAUUCCUGGUGUAGCGUGAAUGCGUAGAUAUCAGAGACACGUGCGAGCGUCUCUGACAGUCUGACACUGAGACACGAGCAGGAGCAACGG